UCGUUUUCUCUCUCCACUCCUCUGUUUAACAGCCUGCCCUGUUACAUCCACGUGGAUUGGAGAAUCUAAAUAUUGAAAGACAGCAAAAGCUCCGCCUGCUGGUAGUCUUGCUAUCUCGCAUGCACUACCUUCUCCGUAAGAAGCCCCGAGAGUUAUUAGCGCACAUGAACAGACAAGUUUGACUGUCAAAUGCAUUUAUAAACAGAUACGUGUUGACAACACACUUUAAAGGCGGCGCAUUGCAUGUGAGCAGGUUGGAUGAGAGGAGGCGACUGGCGUCCAUCUGGGCUGAGGCGGAGGGCCACCUUGGCCACUGACUGCUUUAUGCUGUGCAUGAUGUGGCCAUACCAGGCAGGUGGGUUUUGAGGUUGUUGUGUGUAUACCUUCGACUUGAGAUAGCCCCACAAGAAGAAAUGGCAUGAAGCAAGAUCAGGCGAUCGGGUGAAGGCCACCUGGCAUCACCACGUGUGCAGGGAGAUCAGUUUCCCCAGAAACAUCUCCCGCAAAAUGUGUUGUAUGAGCUGUGGCUCCAUCCUGUUGAAACCAGGCAUCCACCACAUCCAUUUCUUCCAGUUGGGACCGCAAAACGUUCUUUAGCAUUUCAAUGUAACGUUCUGAAGUGACGGUGACCAUUGCUCACCCCUCCUCAAAAGAGUAAGGGCCUACAAUGCAAAAUUCUGCAACGGCGCACCAAACUCUUAAAAUGCUCACUGUGCAGGGGUCUCUGAUGAAGUUCACGAGGGUUGAUUUCAGCCCAAUAGCGAAA